rnacentral:snRNA from 1 species
GCUCAUACCUUGUAGGAGAAAUACCACGUUGUAAGAAUGGUUUUCCUAGGGGGAGGCUCAUCCAUUGCACUUUGGGUAUGCUGUUGAUCCCUGUGAUUUCUCCAAAUGGGGGAAACUCAACUACAUAAUUUGUGUUAAUGGGGGCAUU